GACGAACGCUGGCGGCGUGCUUAACACAUGCAAGUCGAACGGAAAGGCCCUGAUCUUGUGGGGUGCUCGAGUGGCGAACGGGUGAGUAACACGUGAGUAACCUGCCCUUGACUUUCGGAUAACUUCAGGAAACUGGGGCUAAUACCGGAUAGGAGCUCCUGCUGCAUGGUGGGGGUUGGAAAGAUUCGGCGGUUGGGGAUGGACUCGCGGCUUAUCCGCUUGUUGGUGGGGUAGUGGCUUACCAAGGCUUUGACGGGUAGCCGGCCUGAGAGGGUGACCGGCGACAUUGGGACUAAGAUACGGCCCAGACGCCUACGGGAGGCAGCGGUGGGGAGUAUGGCGGAAUGGGCGGAAGCCAGAGACAGCAACGCCGCGUUCGGGAUGACGGCCUACGGGUUGUAAACCGCUGUCGCCUGAGACGAAGCGUGAGUGACGGUAAUGGGUAAAGAAGCACCGGCUAACUACGUG
rnacentral:rRNA from 1 species